CCUACGGGAGGCAGCAGUAGGGAAUCUUCCGCAAUGGACGAAAGUCUGACGGAGCAACGCCGCGUGAGCGAUGAAGGCCUUCGGGUCGUAAAGCUCUGUUGUUAGGGAAGAAUAAGUGCUAGUUGAAUAAGCUGGCACCUUGACGGUACCUAACCAGAAAGCCACGGCUAACUACGUGCCAGCAGCCGCGGUAAUACGUAGGUGGCAAGCGUUGUCCGGAAUUAUUGGGCGUAAAGCGCGCGCAGGCGGUUUCUUAAGUCUGAUGUGAAAGCCCCCGGCUCAACCGGGGAGGGUCAUUGGAAACUGGGAAACUUGAGUGCAGAAGAGGAAAGUGGAAUUCCAAGUGUAGCGGUGAAAUGCGUAGAGAUUUGGAGGAACACCAGUGGCGAAGGCGACUUUCUGGUCUGUAACUGACGCUGAGGCGCGAAAGCGUGGGGAGCAACAGGAUUAGAUACCCUGGUAGUCCACGCUGUAAACGAUGAGUGCUAAGUGUUAGAGGGUUUCCGCCCUUUAGUGCUGAAGUUAGCGCAUUAAGCACUCCGCCUGGGGAGUACGGUCGCAAGACUGAAACUCAAAGGAAUUGACGGGGGCCCGCACAAGUGGUGGAGCAUGUGGAUUUAAUUCGAAGCAACGCGAAGAACCUUAC
rnacentral:rRNA from 1 species